rnacentral:rRNA from 1 species
GAUGAACGCUGGCGGCGUGCCUAAUACAUGCAAGUCGAGCGAACAGAUGAGGAGCUUGCUCCUCUGACGUUAGCGGCGGACGGGUGAGUAACACGUGGAUAACCUACCUAUAAGACUGGGAUAACUACGGGAAACCGGAGCUAAUACCGGAUAAUAUAUUGAACCGCAUGGUUCAAUAGUGAAAGACGGUUUUGCUGUCACUUAUAGAUGGAUCCGCGCCGCAUUAGCUAGUUGGUAAGGUAACGGCUUACCAAGGCAACGAUGCGUAGCCGACCUGAGAGGGUGAUCGGCCACACUGGAACUGAGACACGGUCCAGACUCCUACGGGAGGCAGCAGUAGGGACUCUUCCGCAAUGGGCGAAAGCCUGACGGAGCAACGCCGCGUGAGUGAUGAAGGUCUUCGGAUCGUAAAACUCUGUUAUUAGGGAAGAACAAAUGUGUAAGUAACUAUGCACGUCUUGACGGUACCUAAUCAGAAAGCCACGGCUAACUACGUG